rnacentral:rRNA from 1 species
GCAAGAUACCACGGGCGCACGGCGGAUGCCUUGGCACAGGGAGCCGAUGAAGGACGCGGCAAGCUGCGAUAAUCCCCGGCGAGGAGCACACAUCCUUCGACCCGGGGGUCUCCGAAUGGGCGAACCCAUCCGUAGAGGUACGGAUAUCCCCCCGCUGAACGCAUAGGCGGGGGGAGGACAACCCGGGGAACUGAAACAUCUAAGUACCCGGAGGAGAGGAAAUCAAUCUCGAGACUCCCCGAGUAGCGGCGAGCGAAAGGGGACCGAUGGCCAAACCGUCGAGCGGGCGUACCCGGCAGGGGUUCCGCCGGCGGGGUUGCAGGGCCGCGCAUCCGGGGGCUGCCGCCCCCGGGCGCAGGUCCGGCUGGGGAGCGGAACGGCAUGGGAGGGCCGGCCGCAGCGGGUGACAGCCCCGUACGCGAACCCAGACCGGACGGCGCGACGCGGUCCCUGAGUAGGGCCGGGCACGUGAAACCCGGUCCGAACCUGGGUGGACCACCAUCCAAGCCUGAGUACUACCCUGUGACCGAUAGCGCACCAGUACCGUGAGGGAAAGGUGAAAAGCACCCCGGGAGGGGAGUGAAACAGUACCUGAAACCGUGCGCCCACGAGCAGUCGGAGCACCCUCCGGGGUGUGACGGCGUGCCUUUUGUAGAAUGAGCCAGCGAGUCGCUGGCGCGGGGCGAGGUUAACCGAAAGGGAGCCGUAGCGAAAGCGAGCCUUAACAGGGCGACUUGAGUCCCGCGCCGCGGACGCGAAGCCGGGUGAGCUAUCCGUGGGCAGGCUGAAGCGGGGGUAAGACCCCGUGGAGGGCCGAACGCACGUCGGUUGAAAACGGCGGCGAUGACCUGCGGAUAGGGGUGAAAGGCCAAUCAAACCCGGAGAUAUCUCGUUCUCCCCGAAAUAGCUUUAGGGCUAGCGUCGCGCGUUCACCGCCGGAGGUAGAGCACCGGAUGGACGAGGGGGCUUCGCCGCCUACCGAAUCCAACCGAACUCCGAAUGCCGGCGGCCCAGAGCGCGGCAGUCAGAGCAUGUGGGCUAAGCUGUGUGCUCGAGAGGGAAACAGCCCGGACCGCCCGCUAAGGUCCCCAAGUUCCAGCCGAGUGGCAAAGGAUGUGCGUCCGCCCAGACAACCAGGAUGUUGGCUUAGAAGCAGCCAUGCAUUCAAAGAGUGCGUAACAGCUCACUGGUCGAGUGGACAUGCGCCGACAAUACACGGGGCUAAGCUGGACACCGAAGCGGCGGGAUUUUAUCUAUAGAAUCGGUAGGGGAGCUUCCCAUGGGCGGAGAAGCCGGAGGGCGACCGACGGUGGAGCGCAUGGGAGUGAGAAUGCUGGCAUGAGUAGCGAGAGACGAGAGAGUAACUCGUCCGCCGUGAACCCGAGGUUUCCUGGGCAAGGCUAAUCCUCCCAGGGUCAGUCGGGGGCUAAGGCGAGGCCGGGAGGCGUAGCCGACGCGCAGCAGGCAGACAUUCCUGCACCGCGCACGCGGCGCUACGACCGACGGGGCGACGGAUGGGGGUGGCUCGGCGGGGUUCUGGACGUCCCCGUGAUGGAGCGCGGCCCGCGGACCAGGGAAAUCCGGUCCGCAUCGAGGGCGAGGCUCCGGACGAAGCGAUUGAGCGAAGCGAGUGAGCCCGAGGUCCCUAGAAAAACCCCUAGGCAGGCGCGUGCGCGCCCGUACCGCAAACCGACACAGGUGGGUGGGUAGAACAUACCGAGGCGAUCGGGUCAACCAUGGUCAAGGAACUCGGCACAAUGGCCCCGUAACUUCGGGAGAAGGGGUGCCCGCGCGUACGUGAACGGACUUGCUCCGGGAGCGGAGGCGGGCCGCAGUGGAGAGGCCCAAGCGACUGUUUACCAAAAACACAGGACUCUGCAGAAGCCGCAAGGCGACGUAUAGGGUCUGACGCCUGCCCGGUGCCGGAAGGUCACGCGGAGGAGUUAGCCGCAAGGCGAAGCCCCGAAGCCAAGCCCCGGUAAACGGCGGCCGUAACUAUAACGGUCCUAAGGUAGCGAAAUUCCUUGUCGGGUAAGUUCCGACCUGCACGAAAGGCGCAACGACUUGGGCGCUGUCUCGACCAUGGACCCGGUGAAAUUGCACUGGUCGUGAAGAUGCGACUUACCCGCGGAAGGACGGAAAGACCCCGUGAACCUUCACUGCAGCUUGGCAUUGGCCGCUGGUCCCGCGUGUAGAGGAUAGGCAGGAGGCGAAGAUCCGGAGGCGCCAGCCCCCGGGGAGCCGCCCUUGGAAUACUGCCCUCGCGCGACCGGCGUCCUAACCCGAGGCCGUCAACCGGCUCGGGGACCGUGCCAGGCGGGCAGUUUGACUGGGGCGGUCGCCUCCUAAAGGGUAACGGAGGCGCGCGAAGGUCCGCUCGGGACGGUCGGCAACCGUCCUUUUGAAUGCAAGAGUACAAGCGGGCUUGACUGCGAGGCCCACAAGCCGAGCAGGUGCGAAAGCAGGCUCUAGUGAUCCGGCGGCCCCGAGUGGGUGGGCCGUCGCUCAACGGAUAAAAGGUACUCCGGGGAUAACAGGCUGAUCUUGCCCAAGAGUCCACAUCGACGGCAAGGUUUGGCACCUCGAUGUCGGCUCAUCGCAUCCUGGGGCCGGAGCAGGUCCCAAGGGUACGGCUGUUCGCCGUUUAAAGCGGUACGCGAGCUGGGUUCAGAACGUCGUGAGACAGUUCGGUCCCUAUCCUCCGUGGGCGCAGGAGAAUCGAUGGAGGCUGCCCCCAGUACGAGAGGACCGGGGUGGACGCACCUCCGGUGAACCGGUUGUCGACCAACGGCACGGCCGGGUAGCCGCGUGCGGCGCGGAUAACCGCUGAAGGCAUCUAAGCGGGAAGCCGUUCCAGGGAUUAGUUCUCCUUCCGGUAAGGGCCCAGGUAGACUACCUGGUCGAUAGACGGCAGGUGCAAGGCUGGCGACAGCCUCAGCCGAGCCGCACUAAUCGCCCGAGCUCUUCCGGAA